rnacentral:ncRNA from 1 species
AAUUGAUUCUCGAUUAAACGAACUGACGCUAGAGACAACAUCCACCGUUUAACGCAACAUCGCUCAAAACAAAUCACUGGGAAAAGAAAUAAUCCAUAUUAUAAUUGAGAGAAAAAUGACAUUAACAAGGGGGUACUUGUUAUUUUAAGCUGUUGAAUUUGGAGAAUAAGUUCAUUGGAUUCUAUAAAUUUAAUCAGCAUUUAAAAUAAGAAGGACAAAAUUCGAAACCCGUAAUCUUGGGUUGAUAGCACAGGCUCGUCUUGACGACAUAUGUUUCAAGUGUCUGCCUUGUCAACUGUCCUGGUAGGUUACGCAUCUGCCAUGGUUGUAAUGGGUGACAGGAAAUCAGCUUUCGAUUCUGAAGAGGGAGCCUGAGAAACAGUUACCGCAUCCAAGGAAGACAGUAGGCACUCAAAUUACUCACUCCCACAGCGGGAAGACAAAAAUAACAAUACAGGACUCUUUUGGGACCCUGCAAAUGGAAUGAGUAAAAUCUAGAUCCUUAAACGAGGAUUAAUUGGAGGACACGUCUGGUGCUAGCAACUGUGGUAAUUCCAUCAGCAAUGGCUUAUUUUAAAUUUAUUGCAGUUAAAAAGCUCGUAGUUAGAUCUUAGUUCGAGACGCCUGGUCCACCUACUGGUGAUUACUGCCUGUUUUGAACAGCCGGCGUGGCUUCUUUGAUGAUUUUCACCAGUUGUCUUGGGUGACCAGCAAGUUUACUUUAAAAAAGUUAGAGUGCUCAAAGCUGGCAUAAUUAUUUGGUGGUUUUCGGAACACGAGGUGAUAAUUAAGAGGGACUGGCUGGGGCAUUCGUAUUGCGACGCUAGAGGUGAAGUUUUUGAAACGUCGCAAGGCCAGCUGCUGCGAAAGCAUUCGCCAUUGAUCAAGAACGAAAGUUAGAGGUUCGAAGGCGAUGUUUUCAGUCCAAAGGGGCAAUUUUCUCUGAAGGACUAUUU